rnacentral:tRNA from 1 species
GCGGGGAUAGCUCAGUUGGGAGAGCGUCAGACUGAAGUCACACUUCAUUCUCUGAGUUAAUCUGAAGGUCGUGCGUUCGAUCCGCACUCACCGCA